rfam:Catenulispora acidiphila DSM 44928, complete genome.
CGGUCGGCCCUCAGACUUGGAUCGUCCGGCACGUUCCUGCCGGUCAGAAGGGUACGGU